CAAUGAUCUGGCAAGAGUAGUGCCAUCUCCCACCAGAAUAAUUGAGAAGGUCAUGCCUUCCUUAUCCCCAGGCUGGGUUCACAACACAAGUCAGUCCUCCAGCAAGCAGUUUCCACUUUAAUACAGUUCAGAAGCCAGCCGUGAGAUGGACAGCAGUAGUGACUCCUCAGAUAACUUGGGCAAUGACCAAGAGUUUCAUGCAAGGCAGUUGUAUUACUCGGCCAACUCUGAUUUUUUUCAUCAAAUGCUGGCUUCCAGUGUAACCCAGACUGGUGUUCUUGAGGCCGGUAAAACCAGUGACACCUUGGAAACAUUCAGUCCUUGUCUGCUCCCUGCCUCAGAUUCUCAGAUGAGACCAGAAGCUACAACAUACAAAAGCAUAGACCAGAGCCCAGGGCAGCAGGACCAAGUGAUGAGGCAACAGAUGGAGCAGCUACAAAGGCUGGUGGCUGAACAGCAGAAAAUCAUUGCAUUUUGCAACCCAGGCUUUUCAGUUUCUCCUGGGAUACCUUCUCAUCUAGUUGCCAUGAUGACAACCCUGCCAUGUUUUCCUG
rnacentral:lncRNA from 1 species